rnacentral:rRNA from 1 species
AUUGAACGCUGGCGGCAUGCUUUACACAUGCAAGUCGAACGGUAACAGGUUAAGCUGACGAGUGGCGCACGGUUGAGUAAUGCAUCGGAACGUGCCCGGUCGUGGGGGAUAACGCAGCGAAAGCUGCGCUAAUACCGCAUACGAUCUAAGGAUGAAAGCGGGGGACCGUAAGGCCUCGCUCCAUCGGAGCGGCCGAUGUCAGAUUAGGUAGUUGGUGGGGUAAAGGGUCACCAAGCCAACGAUCUGUAGCCGGUCUGAGAGGACGACCAGCCACACUGGGACUGAGACACGGCCCAGACUCCUACGGGAGGCAGCAGUGGGGAAUUUUGGACAAUGGGCGAAAGCCUGAUCCAGCAAUGCCGCGUGCAGGAAGAAGGCCUUCGGGUUGUAAACUGCUUUUGUACGGAGCGAAAAGGUCUCCUCUAAUACAGGGGGCUCAUGACGGUACCGUAAGAAUAAGCACCGGCUAACUACGUGCCAGCAGCCGCGGUAA